ACUCUCCACCGAAUCUGGAUCUGCUGCUCGCUUGGUUCUGUAUCACUUUCUACGUAACCAAUCGCAAGUGAACACGCCAGUGUUCCGUAACCACCACCUUCAGCCGCAUCAACCUCUCCCGCAACCACCCAAAGAAGAGAAAACUGAGCCUGUCUUCUCCUCCCUUUCCCAUCCUGGUUGAUGUGGCCCACUGUGUGAGACUCUCCUUUCUCCUCGCUCGAAUUGACGGUUUAUCGACGUCCUGCCGUCAGCGUCGCUUCUGGAUACAACAGUUUUGAUUGUUAAAGGAUCAACACAAUGCUAGAAGGUGCACACAUCAGGUUUAAUAGGUAGCAGCAAGCAGCUGUUGCUCUUGWUUCAGCAUUUGGUGCAUUAAUGGAACCAAGAAGGACGUCUAAUAGCUGCUUUGGGGGAACAACUGGAAAGCUAGCUUUUGAGAGAGUUCUAGAAUGGAAGAAGAAAAGUCCUGAAGGCAGAGCAAAUCUACUGGAGCCCCAAAGCCCCCGCAGCCAUGAUUGAAGUGGGAUUUGGCCCCAGGUAUCUUCUACAACUAGCAGGAGACUUUAUCUGUGAGCCUGCUAAUCCCUUCAACAUAUUGAUUCUUAGUUGUUUAGGGUGCUUAUUUAAGUUCUUGUGCACUUAUAUUUGGAAAGCUUUUAAUGUUUUCUUAGUUCUAGAAGUUGGAGGCUUUCUACUUAUCAUGACUUUGUUCAUUCCAAACGAGAGCCUUUCUACUUAAUCAAAGUGGAUGUUGGAUUACCGCAGUUAGUGACAUCCCCACCAUUAGCACCUGAGCCAUAGAGAAUGGUGGAACACUUUUCUCUUUGAAUCUUGUUGGUUCUUGCUGGCCAUAUGGGUAAGUUUUGUUCUAUGGACUAUGAUCAUGUGUAAUGCAACAGUGUUUAAGGGACUCUCCUAAAUGGACAAUGUGUCCAUUUUGGACAUGCAAUGGAUGGGUUCUUGAAGAAUACUUCUAUGUAACAUUUCUGUUUCAUAUCUUGGAUUAUUUGACAUAAAUGAACGGCUAAUGUACAAGAUGAAUGUUAAUUUUUGUAUCAAAUGUUACUUGGCAGAAAAGGCACCAUUCUAAGCCCC